rnacentral:rRNA from 1 species
GACGGGGGGGGCAAGUGUUCUUCGGAAUGACUGGGCGUAAAGGGCACGUAGGCGGUGAAUCGGGUUGAAAGUGAAAGUCGCCAAAAAGUGGCGGAAUGCUCUCGAAACCAAUUCACUUGAGUGAGACAGAGGAGAGUGGAAUUUCGUGUGUAGGGGUGAAAUCCGUAAAUAUACGAAGGAACGCCAAAAGCGAAGGCAGCUCUCUGGGUCCCUACCGACGCUGGGGUGCGAAAGCAUGGGAGCGAACAGG